rnacentral:lncRNA from 1 species
GUGUGAGAGAUUGGAAUAAGACACUUGUAUUUCUUCUCAAACAAAAAUCAGGAGCCGAAAUCCUAGAACCCACCCCAGACCUCACGCCCAAAGAGAAAGAUCUCUUCCUCUAUUUCUCAUGCACACAAGCCUACCCCCUCUCUAUUUCAUGCCUCCUCUCACUCAAAAAAGAUUUUUCAUGAUAAAAUUCAACAACAUUUGUUACACAAAAUGAGAAAGAAUUUAAGGUGGCAUGG